UAAAAAAUAUGUAUUUGAUUUGCUUCAGGGAGGAUUGCAGCUACAACGGUGCACAGUCCUGCCUUGUCCUAGCCUGGGGCUCUCAGCCCAUGGGCGGGGCUGUCUUCUCUAGGAGGUUCACAGUACGUUGACUGAGUGAUCGAGUCUCUAGGCAUCUUCUUGUCAGGGUAGAAACAGGCACGCACCUCUGUAGCAGGACUAGGCCAUGGUCUGGUGCUCUACUGCAUGCAGAAAGUGGGAGACCUGGGUGGUAGUCAGAUGGGUUUGCCCUUUGUGCCCUAGCAGCCAAAUUAGCCCUGCCUGUUUGCCAGCUGACCACACUCUGGCCCUUUCUGCUCAGAUCUUCCCUAAAGGUGGCAGGUGAGACACAAGAAAGAGGCCCCACCCUAGUCACGGCACUAUGAUCAUCUUCCAUGUCAACAAACACCCUCUGAGUCACCUGGAAGGCUGGGUGACAUAAGGACAUUACUGACCCUAUAGCUGGUGCCAGGACCUGUGCAAAGCUUACAUGGCACUCAGGGGACCAAGGCCCAGCACGAAGAGUUCAGUCCACGGUCAGUUGGCUUGAAGGCAGGAACAUCAUGGCAGAAGGGGAUGGUGGAGCGCUUCAUGCAUGGCUGGAUGUAUGGAUACACAGGUGGUGUGGGUACAAGAUGGAAUUCUGGAAAUCUGGAAGAUGAGCAAAACCAGGAGCAGAAGCCAGUCAUGCUGCCUCCCCACUCACUGAGGGCACUUGCAUCACCCAUGCCUGGCCCCUCGCAACCACCCUGGGCAUCACGCUUGCAACCUGUUUCCGGCCCCUUAAUUGAAUGAAGUGUGCAGCCGGGUGCCCGCAGAGGGUGGUGAGGCUGUCAGGCAGGGAGAGAAAUUACUCCCAGAUUCAGGGAGUGGAGUUGGCUGCUGACUUAUUUAUUGAUUGACUUGAAAUAACAGCAAUCGAAUCACAGCCAGGCAGGGGUAGAGUGGCCAGGCCUUCCACUAUGUUAUGAUGCACGCAUUUUAAAUGUACAGUUGCUCACUCCUGACAGAGGCCUGCAUCUUUGUCACCAUACCCUAACCAAGAUUGUGAACACUUCCAUCUUCCACAAGUCCUGUCCGGCUCUUCCUGUCCCAUAUUCCCCCUUCCCCACAACCUCUGUCCCAAAAUGCAGGUGGACAAUGCUUUGUUCUCUGACUCAGCAGGUACUGACUUUUAUUUUCCCCGUAAAAAAAUGGCUGGGGAUUGAAUCCAAGACCUUUCAUAUGGCAAGCAUUCACCACUGAGUCACACCUCUACUC